GAGCAAUGAUGAAAAGGUGUUACUACUGACCUUAUAAAUAUGAAGGUUUCUACACUUGAUCUGAGCUCA
ensembl:snoRNA